AGCUUACCAAUCCCUGUGAUCCUAUUCCUUUUUUUGCAUUCACCUUUCGAGGAUCUUUCAGUUGUACUGUCAACUACAUCUGAUUUCAAAUCAUAGAGGCCAUUGGUUUAGUUGCUUUCCCGAUAGCUGUACCCCUCUUGUGUCCUUGAAUUUUGCAGCCAUUUCAGUUACUCAUUAAGUUCUUACCAAUGGGUUGUGGUUUGAUAUGGCAGGAGAUCUCAAUUGCAGCAAAUAUAGCCUAAAAGGAAAUUGAUAAGUACAUCAAGAUACCUGGAGAAGCCCUUCAGCUAAGUCAACCUAUCAACAACAGUUCCAUAUCGGUCCAAAUGCCGAGGUUUUGCAGUCUCCUCUAGCUAAAUACAUCUGCUUAGACUAGAAUGAGAUUUUUGGGAACUGUUUUUGCAAAGUGAAAUUAUUUCACCACUACUAAGUCUUUGCAUUGUCUGCAGGAAAAAUGGGAAACUUAAUUUGGUUCACACAGCACAAAUCUCUUCUUAGCAAAGAAGGGGACAGCCUGUUCCCCAAUUGCUCUUGGACAAGAGUAUUGGUUGCCCAUUCUUACUAGUGCCAACACCAGGCUAAGCAACAUGGCAAGCACCAGGCUUGUCCUAAGGAUCACAGACAGUAGCUCAACUUGUAGACAUGGAGCUCCAAUGUACUCGGCAUUGUAUAAUGUAGAAAAGAGCAAAAGUUGAUAGAUACAGAGAAAGAAGGCAAAUGUACAAAUGACCCUCCUACAUUAGUGUAUGAAUAUUUGGGAAAUAAUUAUGUUUGAUAUCAAUUUACUGAAUUCAUUUAAUA